AGAAGGAAGCGCGGGAAGGCGGAAGCGGGGGCCGGAACUCUUGAGUCGGCGCUGACUAGGCGUUUGCCUGGGUCUGGUUUUCCCCGCCGGGACCCCGAGCACGGUAUUUAUAAGUUGCACUGCCUUUGCAACGGCAAGUCGAGAAUUGCACAAUACAUAUUAGCCCACAGCUUCAAGAGUGCAUGGGAUUUAAACUAGCUGAACUGAAAGGAACAAAAAAGACAUUUCAGGUUUUAACUGGAUUUGGCCACGUCCCCAGCCCCCAGUGUGCUGGGGAACUGGAGGUUGCCCUGAAGAAGGAAAAAAAAAAAAAAGAAUGAGCAUCGCUAUGCCCCACUCGUCAGGUCGCGCGUUCUGACGAGAGCCGGCGGGUUCUAGGAAGAAUCGGGGUGAAGGUUCGGGAAAAACCGGGAGGCCCGGGCGUGACGGCAUCCCCCGCCCCACCACCGGGCCGCCCGGGCCGCCUUUGUCCGGGCGGCGCCCUGAGCGGGCCCUGCCUCCGGGCUGCAGCGAGGCUGCUGGUCCGCGGGGCGCUGGCCUUCGGCCGAGGCUGACCCCACAGGUCAGCUCCGAAGCGGCCCCUCCUGCGCCCGAGGUCGAGGCCACCGGGAGUCCGCCACCCACCCUGCAGGGCUGAGAACUGUGUCCGUGUCUGCCGGAUGCCACGUUGGUUCCCAUUUACAGAGGACAUAUUUGCAUUUUAAUGAGCCCUUCCGAGGACGCCAAACCUCCUUCCAAAAGGAAACCCAUAGAAGCCUGGGAAUUUCAAAAGUGCGGCAGGAUAUUAGAACCAGAAGGGUCCCUGGAGACCACCUAAGCAAACCCUGUUAGUUUCCUGGUGAAGAUGCUGACUCAGAGAGGUUCCAGUAACUUCAGCAACGUCACACAUAACCAGAGUUGUUUCCUGCUGCUUGCAACCAAGCAUUGACUGUACAUGUUUGGAAUGCAAAGUCCCAAGUCCAUUUCCAAGUGUUGUCGGGAUACCUAGAUGACUACAGUCUGAAAUACGCUGCACAUGCCAGAGCCAGCCAGACAAGACGGGGCGUGUCCUGUUGUGAAAUGAUCCUGCUGCACAGUGAGCCUCAGGGCUGAGGAGCAAGUGCAAUUAACAUUCCAAGUUGCGAAUCACUUCCCCACCACAGGAGCCCUGCAGCAUCUUAUUGUGACUACAGAGGGGAGAGUGGGGUGCCCCAGUCUGAGGGCCCAGCAUCCUGAAUUGGAGCUCUCCAGCGACACAGCAACACAGCAACCAUGGAGGGGACAUACCAAACACCACUCUAAGUGCUUUACAAGAAAUAAACUCAUUGAUUCCU